AGGANCGGGUGUACCUAAAGUCGGUAACCGUAAGGAGCCGCCUAGGGUAAAACUGUGACUGGGGCU
rnacentral:rRNA from 1 species